GCCAGCUAGUGCAGAAGCCCGCUAGCAUGCGCUCGUACUUCAGCAGAGAGGCCAGUACCGUACUGCAGAGAGCCGCUACUACCGGCAGCAGCGCGUAUACGUAGCGCAAGCGUGUCGAUAUGCGUAAGAGCUCGUAGCGCUGUCACGUCGUGUGAAAGCCCGGGCUACCCGGUCUGCAGUCGAUACGGCAGCUAGAGUUCGUAGGGAGAUCGAAUCCUGUGUAGCGUGAAAUGCGCAGAUAUCAGAGACCACCGUGCCGAAGCCGGAUCUCUGGCCAGAUACUGACGCUGAGAGCGAAGCGUGGGAGCGAACAGAUUAGAUACCCUGGUAGUCCACGCCGUAAACGUGUGGGACACUAGGUGUGGCCACCAUUCCACGUCUGUCGCGUGCCGCCAGCUAAACGCAUUAAGUGCCCCGCCCUGGGGGAGUACGCCGCCAAAGCUAAAACUCAAAAGGAUUGGACGGGGGGCCCGCACAAGCAGGCGGGAGCAUGUGGGUUUAAUCGACGCAAACGCGGAAGAAACCUUACCAAAGGCUUGACAUACAUCCGGAAACGUCAGGAGACAGGCCCCCCCUGUUGGUCGGGUGUACAGGGUGGUGCAUGGGCUGUCGUCAGCUUCGUGUUCGUGAGAUGUUUGGUUUAAGUCCCGCAACGAGCGCAACACCUUGUUCCCGGUUUCCCAGCCAGCCCUUUGGGGUGAUGGGGACUCACGGGAGACCGCCGGGGUCAACUCGGAGGAAGGUGGGGACGACGUCAAGUCAUCAUGCCCCUUAUGUCUUGGGCUGCACACGUGCUACAAUGGCCGGUACAAUGAGCUGCGAUGUCGCGAGGUGGAGCGAAUCUCAAAAAGCCGGUCUCAGUUCGGAUUGGGGUCUGCAACUCGACCCCAUGAAGUCGGAGUCGCUAGUAAUCGCAGAUCAGCAUUGCUGCGGUGAAUACGUUCCCGGGCCUUGUACACACCGCCCGUCACGUCACGAAAGUCGGUAACACCCGAAGCCGGUGGCCCAACCCCUUGUGGGAGGGAGCUGUCGAAGGUGGGACUGGCGAUUGGGACGAAGUCGUAACAAGGUAGCCGUACCGGAAGGUGCGGUUGGAUCACCUCCUUA
rnacentral:rRNA from 1 species